rnacentral:rRNA from 1 species
AUGAGCACCUCUGAAAGGUGCGCCGUCUUCGACAACUUCCUCGCCGACCCCAGGUACACCUUUGCAGGCUUCUCCAUCGACGGCGACAAAACCAGGCUGGAGCGCGUCAAACUGGAGGUCGCCAACUUCGUCGACAUCCAAAAGGAGUGGAGGGUGCCCGAGGCAACCAAGCCGUUGGACUCCCUCGGAGACGUCUCCGGCAUGCUCAUCGACGACUACUACAACAACAUGAAGAAGAAGAUCACCGAUGACAAGCACCAGUGCUUGGCCACCCCGCCUCUGUCCAUGAGGCACAUCGAGUACGCGGCAAAGGACGCCUACGCAGCGUACGAGAUAUCGAACCGCAUCACCCUCACCCAGGACGGCCUUUGCCGUGCAAAGCUGGAGAAGGAGGAGCCCCCCAAGAAGCGCGCCAGGAGCAGCUGGGGAUGGGGAGAGCCUAACUGGUGA